GACGAACGCUGGCGGCGUGCCUAAUACAUGCAAGUCGAACGCAGUGGGGACGGGUGAGUAACACGUGGGUAACCUCCCAUCAGAGGGGAUAACACUUGGCAACAGGUGCUAAACCGAUACUGAUGGAUGGACCCGCGGUGCAUUAGCUAGUUGGUGAGGUAACGGCUCACCAAGGCCACGAUGCAUAGCCUACCUGAGAGAGUGAUCGGCCACGCUGGGACUGAGACACGACCCGGACUCCUACGAGAGGCAGCAGUAGGGAAUCUUCGGCAAGGGACGAAAGUCUGACCGAGAAACGCCGCGUGAGUGAAGAAGGAUUUCGGAGCGUAAAACACUGUUGUUAGAGAAGCGGUAACUAACCAGAAAGCCACGGCUAACUACGUGACAGCAGCCGCGGUAAUUC
rnacentral:rRNA from 1 species